GACGAACGCUGGCGGCGUGCUUAACACAUGCAAGUCGAACGGAAAGGCCCUGCUUUUGUGGGGUGCUCGAGUGGCGAACGGGUGAGUAACACGUGAGUAACCUGCCCUUGACUUUGGGAUAACUUCAGGAAACUGGGGCUAAUACCGGAUAGGAGCUCCUGCUGCAUGGUGGGGGUUGGAAAGUUUCGGCGGUUGGGGAUGGACUCGCGGCUUAUCAGCUUGUUGGUGGGGUAGUGGCUUACCAAGGCUUUGACGGGUAGCCGGCCUGAGAGGGUGACCGGCCACAUUGGGACUGAGAUACGGCCCAGACUCCUACGGGAGGCAGCAGUGGGGAAUAUUGCACAAUGGGCGGAAGCCUGAUGCAGCAACGCCGCGUGCGGGAUGACGGCCUUCGGGUUGUAAACCGCUUUCGCCUGUGACGAAGCGUGAGUGACGGUAAUGGGUAAAGAAGCACCGGCUAACUACGUGCCAGCAGCCGCGGUGAUACGUAGGGUGCGAGCGUUGUCCGGAUUUAUUGGGCGUAAAGGGCUCGUAGGUGGUUGAUCGCGUCGGAAGUGUAAUCUUGGGGCUUAACCCUGAGCGUGCUUUCGAUACGGGUUGACUUGAGGAAGGUAGGGGAGAAUGGAAUUCCUGGUGGAGCGGUGGAAUGCGCAGAUAUCAGGAGGAACACCAGUGGCGAAGGCGGUUCUCUGGGCCUUUCCUGACGCUGAGGAGCGAAAGCGUGGGGAGCGAACAGGCUUAGAUACCCUGGUAGUCCACGCUGUAAACGGUGGGUACUAGGUGUGGGGUCCAUUCCACGGGUUCCGUGCCGUAGCUAACGCUUUAAGUACCCCGCCUGGGGAGUACGGCCGCAAGGCUAAAACUCAAAGGAAUUGACGGGGCCCCGCACAAGCGGCGGAGCAUGCGGAUUAAUUCGAUGCAACGCGUAGAACCUUACCUGGGUUUGACAUGGAUCGGGAGUGCUCAGAGAUGGGUGUGCCUCUUUUGGGGUCGGUUCACAGGUGGUGCAUGGCUGUCGUCAGCUCGUGUCGUGAGAUGUUGGGUUAAGUCCCGCAACGAGCGCAACCCUUGUUCACUGUUGCCAGCACGUUAUGGUGGGGACUCAGUGGAGACCGCCGGGGUCAACUCGGAGGAAGGUGGGGAUGACGUCAAGUCAUCAUGCCCCUUAUGUCCAGGGCUUCACGCAUGCUACAAUGGCUGGUACAGAGAGUGGCGAGCCUGUGAGGGUGAGCGAAUCUCGGAAAGCCGGUCUCAGUACGGAUUGGGGUCUGCAACUCGACCUCAUGAAGUCGGAGUCGCUAGUAAUCGCAGAUCAGCAACGCUGCGGUGAAUACGUUCCCGGG
rnacentral:rRNA from 1 species